rnacentral:rRNA from 1 species
ACGGCUUACCAAGGCGACGAUCAGUAGCCGACCUGAGAGGGUGAUCGGCCACAUUGGAACUGAGACACGGUCCAAACUCCUACGGGAGGCAGCAGUGGGGAAUAUUGCACAAUGGGCGAAAGCCUGAUGCAGCAACGCCGCGUGAGUGAUGAAGGCCUUCGGGUCGUAAAACUCUGUCCUCAAGGAAGAUAAUGACGGUACUUGAGGAGGAAGCCCCGGCUAACUACGUGCCAGCAGCCGCGGUAAUACGUAGGGGGCUAGCGUUAUCCGGAUUUACUGGGCGUAAAGGGUGCGUAGGCGGUCUUUCAAGUCAGGAGUGAAAGGCUACGGCUCAACCGUAGUAAGCUCUUGAAACUGGGAGACUUGAGUGCAGGAGAGGAGAGUGGAAUUCCUAGUGUAGCGGUGAAAUGCGUAGAUAUUAGGAGGAACACCAGUUGCGAAGGCGGCUCUCUGGACUGUAACUGACGCUGAGGCACGAAAGCGUGGGGAGCAAACAGGAUUAGAUACCCUGGUAGUCCACGCUGUAAACGAUGAGUAC